rnacentral:rRNA from 1 species
GCCUUUAGGUUCGGAAUAACUCAGGGAAACUUGUGCUAAUACCGAAUGUGCCCUUCGGGGGAAAGAUUUAUCGCCUUUAGAGCGGCCCGCGUCUGAUUAGCUAGUUGGUGAGGUAAAGGCUCACCAAGGCGACGAUCAGUAGCUGGUCUGAGAGGAUGAUCAGCCACAUUGGGACUGAGACACGGCCCAAACUCCUACGGGAGGCAGCAGUGGGGAAUCUUGCGCAAUGGGCGAAAGCCUGACGCAGCCAUGCCGCGUGAAUGAUGAAGGUCUUAGGAUUGUAAAAUUCUUUCACCGGGGACGAUAAUGACGGUACCCGGAGAAGAAGCCCCGGCUAACUUCGUGCCAGCAGCCGCGGUAAUACGAAGGGGGCUAGCGUUGCUCGGAAUUACUGGGCGUAAAGGGAGCGUAGGCGGACAUUUAAGUCAGGGGUGAAAUCCCGGGGCUCAACCUCGGAAUUGCCUUUGAUACUGGGUGUCUUGAGUAUGAGAGAGGUGUGUGGAACUCCGAGUGUAGAGGUGAAAUUCGUAGAUAUUCGGAAGAACACCAGUGGCGAAGGCGUCACACUGGCUCAUUACUGACGCUGAGGCUCGAAAGCGUGGGGAGCAA